rnacentral:rRNA from 1 species
UACGUAGGGUGCGAGCGUUGCCCGGAUUUAUUGGGCGUAAAGCGCCCGCAGGCGGCUUGGCAAGUUCGAGGUGAAAUCUCCCGGCUCAACUGGGAGGGUGCCUCGGAAACUGCCAGGCUUGAGGCAGGGAGAGGGAUGUGGAAUUCCCGGUGUAGUGGUGAAAUGCGUAGAUAUCGGGAGGAACACCGGUGGUGUAGACGGCUUACUGGACCAUAACUGACGCUGAGACACGAAAGCGUGGGUAGCAAACAGG